rnacentral:rRNA from 1 species
UCGAGCGAGCUUGCCUAGAUGAUUUUAGUGCUUGCACUAAAUGAAACUAGAUACAAGCGAGCGGCGGACGGGUGAGUAACACGUGGGUAACCUGCCCAAGAGACUGGGAUAACACCUGGAAACAGAUGCUAAUACCGGAUAACAACACUAGACGCAUGUCUAGAGUUUGAAAGAUGGUUCUGCUAUCACUCUUGGAUGGACCUGCGGUGCAUUAGCUAGUUGGUAAGGUAACGGCUUACCAAGGCAAUGAUGCAUAGCCGAGUUGAGAGACUGAUCGGCCACAUUGGGACUGAGACACGGCCCAAACUCCUACGGGAGGCAGCAGUAGGGAAUCUUCCACAAUGGACGAAAGUCUGAUGGAGCAACGCCGCGUGAGUGAAGAAGGGUUUCGGCUCGUAAAGCUCUGUUGGUAGUGAAGAAAGAUAGAGGUAGUAACUGGCCUUUAUUUGACGGUAAUUACUUAGAAAGUCACGGCUAACUACGUGCCAGCAGCCGCGGUAA